GGCUCGCGGUAAACGGUUGCCUUUGUCGGUGACUUUCGAUAAUUGUGAGUCUGACGAUGACCUCUCUCUCCAUCCCGGAGAGACGGAGGCAGAGGGGUGUGAUGAUUUCUUUCCGGGACCCCUUCCCGAUUUGAGUUCGGGUCUAAGCGACUCUGUCGCUUGUGCAAGUGAUAAGGACUCUGCACAGCCGCAGUCACCGAACGUUGUUCGGAAUGACAAAUAUGGCGGCGUCGGAGGCGAUGCCCCGACUGUUCCUUUGCCCCGUGGGGGUAAGAAACGUCCCGUCUGCACUGAGGCUGCCGCUGGUAGCGAGUUUCAACUCAUGGCGAAACGUAUGAGGGCUCUGGAGGAGCAGUUAGCAGACGUUAAGCGGGACCGGGCGAGUACAGGAAACCAAACGGCUGGUACAGCGAGGAGGCUGGAGUGGCGGCCAGAGAGGGCGAGGGGGCUAUAGCCAGUACAGAGGCUCAGCAAGGCCUUUUUUACGGUCGGGCCAGCGGGGCCGGGGACAACGGCGACCCGCAUACAUGCAGCAAAGUCAAAGCCAGAGCCAGACACAGAAAAAAGAAUAGCCCCUAAGUCUGAUCAGCCGUGUUCUGCACAAAGUGAAGGAAGACAAAUUUCUUUCAGAAGAGGUUUGCAAGUGUCCACUUCCACAGUGGCAAGAUGGGUGAGAGAAGUGAUGAUGGCGGCUGGAAUUGAUCGACAGUUUAAACCUCAUUCAGUUAGAGGAGCGUCUGUGUCGGCAGCAUACACGGCGGGGACAUCCUUGAGGGACAUACUGGAAACGGCAAACUGGGCAUCAGCCGAGAGCUUUAGGAGGUUCUACUUAAGAGAUAUUGAUGACCCGGGUUCCUUUUCAACCAGUGUUCUGCAGACAGGGCAGUGAUAAGAUGUCAAUGAUAUAGACUUUGUGAAAUGUAGUGUAAUUUUGAAAUACUAAUGAAUGAGUGAACUUGA